AUUGAACGCUGGCGGCAGGCCUAACACAUGCAAGUCGAGCGGAUGAAGGGAGCUUGCUCCUGGAUUCAGCGGCGGACGGGUGAGUAAUGCCUAGGAAUCUGCCUGGUAGUGGGGGAUAACGUCCGGAAACGGGCGCUAAUACCGCAUACGUCCUGAGGGAGAAAGUGGGGGAUCUUCGGACCUCACGCUAUCAGAUGAGCCUAGGUCGGAUUAGCUAGUUGGUGGGGUAAAGGCCUACCAAGGCGACGAUCCGUAACUGGUCUGAGAGGAUGAUCAGUCACACUGAAACUGAGACACGGUCCAGACUCCUACGGGAGGCAGCAGUGGGGAAUAUUGGACAAUGGGCGAAAGCCUGAUCCAGCCAUGCCGCGCGUGUGAAGAAGGUCUUCGGAUUGUAAAGCACUUUAAGUUGGGAGGAAGGGCGGUAAGUUAAUACCUUGCUGUUUUGACGUUACCAACAGAAUAAGCACCGGCUAACUUCGUG
rnacentral:rRNA from 1 species